UAGCUCAUAACUGAACUGUGAAACGAGGUUCAGUAGAAGCUCUAUUUACAAUCUUACUAAUAGUUUUUAUCAACGGGUAUCUAUAAUACAAUGUAGAGCUUGUGACAUAUAGAAAUACGCAACAUGGUGUAUCAUAGAGUAGUCCAGUAUUGCUGUCAUUCCUAACAGUCGUUUACUCGUUACGACUUUCAUGCUCUCUCUUGUGCUGAAGGCUUGUUUUCUGCUCUAUUUUUCAUUCAAGACGCUGAAAAGCGAAUAGAUAGAAUGCGAUUUAGUUUAAGAGAUUUUCGCGGUUCAGGAAAGAAGUUUUCAACAUUUUGCAAUAGGAAUGAAUCAGUUCCCAAGUUGAAAGUCAUUGGUUUCAUUAACUGAGCGUCUCAUUUGCAGAUAUUUCGUUGAAUGUCAAAAAGGAAAGAAUUAAAGCGAUAAUUAGUAUGCUUUAAAAUCCCUCCAAUAUUUGCAAUUAGGAAAAUUUUGCCUUAAACUGAAUUUCGUACUUUCUACUGCUGCUAUAAAUGAUUAUGAUCUUUCUGUCUAAAACAACAGGUGCUUGUUUACUGACGCUAUACAUAUCGAGCUUACUUAUACAUAUAUUAAGACUUAGGUAAACCGUUUAUUUUCACAGCGUCUAAACUGUUUAACGAAAUAUAGAUUUUUAAAGAUAAAGCUAGCGAAAAAGGAAAACAGUAUAAUAAUAAUAAUGAAUUAUAAGCGGCCAUUAUCCGAAAUGAAAUAUGAAAAUGCA
rnacentral:lncRNA from 1 species